rnacentral:ncRNA from 2 species
UUGAGCUGCGGGGGGUGCCUGCGGAGUGUCGUCCCAUGCGAACGCAUGACUAUGGCGAUCAUUCCAGGGCUGAGAUUAUACCCUUUACACCUGAUCCGGUUCGUACCGGCGGAGGGACAGCAGCUCCGAGAAGUG